rnacentral:lncRNA from 1 species
UGGGCGCAUUUCCCAGGCACUUCAGCACCUUUCUGUCCUCAGCUUAUGCCUUCCUUCCUGCGAAGGGAAGAGAGGAGGAGGGCCAGGGCUCCCUGAAGAUAGGCGUUUCUUUGACUGGCUGAAUAGUGACUCCUUGUCUCAGGGCAGUGAUGAAGCCCUUUCCUUCUCUUUCUCCCACUAUUCAUUUGUGUGGGUAUCCUUCAGAUUGCAGUGUGAACCUAACUGGCAAAGCAUAAUGGCGUGAUUAAAUGGCAUUAAGAACUCAGACAAGAUUAAGUUAAAAUGUGAGUGAUGACAUUAUAUUUGAGGCAUACCGUGCAACAGCAAACUUAAAGCAGUUGCUCAGACCCCGAGUCGGCCAAAUAUUAGACGCUUAAAAUAAUACAGUUUACACCUGGUCAGUAAAUAUUUCAUGUGGUUCUGCCUUACCAGGAGGGGUACCGGGCUCUGAUUUAAUUCCCAGGAAGGUCAGAAUGCUGUCAGUGUUCCUUGUGAUUCACUGAGGAGUGCUAGCUGGGAUGAGCGUUUCCAAGCCCCUUAUCCAGCUGUAGUUGCCACUGUGUUGCUCUGUAACUUGCUAUUUGAGUCUUGCUGGUUGCUGUACUUUGGUUGCAAAAGUACUUUUUCAAGAAUUGUUUUCAAUAAUUUCAGUAUCUCUUAACUCCUCAGGCUGAGCUACUUUUUUAUUAACGGUGUUCUUUACUGCAUCUUGUGGGCGUACAGCCUUAUCCUUGAAGAUGGCUUUCUGCUGCGUCCUAACUGUGCAAGUUCAUCUCUUCAAGUUAGAACUUAAAGGACCACUUGAGACAGGACCAGUAGCCCUGCAAGACCAGCGGGCAGUGAUGGGAAAUUUACCAACACAGGAAUGGGAAGAAGAUACAUCAGAAAAACAGCUGUUGGCAUCUCCUUGCAUAGGAAAAUCCAAAUUGCAGGUAUUGGGAUGUUCAGUCUCCAGGGUUCAGCUUUUUAACAUUUUAUAUAGCACAGCUGAUGGCUGACAACUCAGAUGUGUACUUGAAGUCUUGCCUCCUUUUUUUACUGAGAGUGUACUGGAAACAGACUUUGUUUCUGGCUCUCCAGUACAACUACUGCAAAGGGGCGCUCGUAAAGGCUUCACAGUUGUAUGUGCUGGAAUGGGAACCGCAGUAAGUCAUAUAUUGAAAACACUGAUUCCACUUAACUCCAAGGAGGAUGGAAAUAUUAUCAAACACUAAAUAAAAUGUGCCAGAACAGAAAUAACCAUACUUUCCCAUAUUUGAAGGAAAAACAGUGGAUUUGUGUUGAAGUUGCAGCAUUAACACAGCACUGAAGCAGUUACCUGGAAAACUGAUCCUGCAACAGCAGCCUGAGAAGUGAGGAACUGUUACCAGGAAGAUCUGAAGUAGUUUUAAGAUUUCACCAUCUAUGCAGUUGAGUUGGAUGAUUAAAAAAACCCUGUAUUGAUGUAGUUCAUAAGAAGAAAAAACAGUGAAUAAAACAAAAUGAAAAGAUGGGUUUUUUUGAUGCCAUGAGGUUCCAACACUGCCUUGUAACAUA